rnacentral:misc_RNA from 1 species
AUGCGAUAAGUAAUGUGAAUUGCAGAAUUCAGUGAAUCAUCGAAUCUUUGAACGCACCUUGCGCUCUUUGGCCAUUCCAAGGAGCAUGCCUGUUUGAGUGUCAUUGAAUCCUCAAGGGGCUCCUCCCCCCUUCUUGCCCUUUCCUUCGAGGGCUUUCUGAGAAGGGGGGGGGGGGAACUUGGACUUGGGAGCGCUGCGGGCGUCGGGCUUUCUCCGGCUUCCGCUCUCCUCAAAUGCAUCAGUAGGUGGCCCCCCUCAUCCCUUCGGGUGUUUGCGGCGUUGAUAGUCGUCUACGCCUCUGCCCCCGUCGGGUCUCGCCUGCUCCUUCAAACCCCACAUUUUUCUUUGAACGCUUUGACCUCAAAUCAGGUAGGACUUACCCGCUGAACUUAA